rnacentral:rRNA from 1 species
UACGUAGGGUGCGAGCGUUGUCCGGAAUUAUUGGGCGUAAAGGGCUCGUAGGCGGUUUGUCGCGUCGGGAGUGAAAACCUUGGGCUUAACUCAGGGCUUGCUUUCGAUACGGGCAGACUAGAGGUAUGCAGGGGAGAACGGAAUUCCUGGUGUAGCGGUGAAAUGCGCAGAUAUCAGGAGGAACACCGAUGGCGAAGGCGGUUCUCUGGGCAUGAUCUGACGCUGAGGAGCGAAAGUGUGGGGAGCGAACAGG